AAGUGUGAGUGAGAGAGCGUUUUCAAAGCCAACAACCGAAGCCCGCGCCAACCCCCCCCCCGAUGAGGCUGUAGCGUCGUCUAGAAGAGCAAAGACCGAUGGCUCUUUCAACCGUAAAUCUGACCCGAAGCUCAGAGAUCGAUAAGUUCACUCAAUACACCGCUGAUCUCCUUCAACUUUAAAACAAAGCUCAAAGGUCCAUGAACUAUAAACCGUAGAAUUUAGCCAAGCGAAUUCGUUAUAGAUCUAGAGGCACAAUCAAUCGUAACUUUUUUAUUAAAAAAGAAGAACCCUAACUUAGCCCUCUUGCACUUCAGAGCUUGCGACUCUGCCUAAGGCCAUGGAGACAUAAAUGGAAGAAAUUUAUGAGGAUCUAUAUAAACUAAACUGCCCAAAAUAAGUUAGCCCUUGCUAGGGGUGAAAAUGGAAUCAAGAAAUAGAAAAUGUAAGAAUUAAAUAUAUCGUAGAACUGGCAUUAAAUUAAUUUUGUUUCAAUUUAUGAGUGAGCACUCUAGAUUAAUAUUAACAAAAAAAAUACUCCUGAUUUCUGAUCGACUAAUCGUUGAUCCUGUUGAUAAAUUAAAUGCAAUAAUUAAUAUGGUUAAUUUUGUUUUCUAAUUAUGUAAUUAUGAAAAAAUUAGGCUCUGUUUAAUUCAUUUUUACAAGAAAAUGUAACCUACCACUUUCUUUUUUCUAGUGAUUAAUUGUUUGAAUUUGCCUUACGGUGCUCGUUGAACAAGAUAGGGACUCUGAAUUUGUAUAAAUAUUUUGCUGAAGUUUGGCUUAGAUUGCGCCAACCACAGGAUAGAUUUACUGUACCUUUUUCACAUUUAUUAUCUGAUCAAGGAUGAGCUCUCGUUUUUUCUGGGUUCUGGCCAACGAGGAAUUGGAGAUUUGAGUUAUUUUUGUGUACAUGGGACUGACUUGCUUGCACAAGCUAGCCCUGCAGGAACAGGAAGGUUCUUGUAUUCUUUGCUGUUUCAGGAAUUGAUUGCUUUUAAAUCAAGAACUGGGUUUUACCAUAUGUUGCUUGUGUUGUUUUGGAUUUUUAAUCUGAUAAAUUUAUGUACUUUUGUCAUUUGGAUUGAAGGGAGCUCUA
rnacentral:precursor_RNA from 1 species